UACGUAGGGUGCAAGCGUUGUCCGGAAUUAUUGGGCGUAAAGAGCUCGUAGGCGGUCUGUCGCGUCGGCUGUGAAAUCCCGAGGCUCAACCUCGGGUCUGCAGUCGAUACGGGCAAACUGGAGUGUUGCAGGGGAGACUGGAAUUCCUGGUGUAGCGGUGAAAUUCGUAGAUAUUCGGAAGAACACCAGUGGCGAAGGCGAGUCUCUGGACAUUUCCUAACGCUGAGGCACGAAAGCCAGGGGAGCAAACGGG
rnacentral:rRNA from 1 species